CUGCUGCCUUUGAACCCACCACACUUGCCUGUUAUGCCUGGGGUCAAACUGCAGCAUCAGAACAAGCACUUGUGCCUAACUGGGGCCAUCACACCUCUGCUGCGGGCCCUUUGAACCAGGCUGCCAUAAAC